AUGUCAUAACCAUUGUCCACCAAAGAGCAGCACUGAGCAGAAAUAACACGGCUCCUGUUCAUUCUCCAUCAGUGAGGGGCCGGUGCUGGACACUGUGUAGGGACGCGGGAAUGCAAAGUCAUACACAUGACUGUGACUGAUGCAGUAUCUCCAGGACAUGGAGUAGCAUUUCCGGACCUACAGCAAGACGUUGGAUGAAGGCAUAGCCCCAGAAAUAACACUGGUCCUGUUCAUCAGUGAGGGGCCGGUGCUGGACACUGUGUAGGGACACGGGAAUGCAAAGUCAUGCACAUGACUGUGACAGAUGCACUAUUUCCAGGACAUGGAGUAGCAUUUCGGGACCUACAGCAAGACGUUGGAUGAAGGCACAGGCCUAGGAAUCAUGCACAUACACAGAAACAUUUGCCCAAAUUAUAGAGGUAACCUCCUUUAGUAUGCCCAGAGGAAGGGCCAUACAGUAGCCAUGGAUUCCCUACAGGUUUCCUCCCCUCUGGAGGUUUUUCCUGUCCUGAGUAUUAGUUACUGUACGCUCUUUGUGAGUGAUGGGAGGUUACAAAAAGUCCCCUACACAAACAUUUUAAUAAAUAAUAAAUAAAGUUCCCCUUUUUUAAAACUG